GCCUGGUUGGCUCAGUGGUUGAACAUCUGGCUCAGGGUGUGAUCCCAGAGUCCUGGGAUCAAGUCCCACAUCAGGCU
rnacentral:tRNA from 1 species